rnacentral:rRNA from 1 species
CUGCUCAGUAACACGUGGAUAACCUACCCUUAGGACCGGAAUAACCCCGGGAAACUGGGGAUAAUACCGGAUAAGCCAUAGACGCUGGAAUGCCCUAUGGUUCAAAGCUCCGGCGCCUAAGGAUGGAUCUGCGGUCUAUCAGGUUGUAGUGGGUGUAACGUACCUACUAGCCGACGACGGAUACGGGUUGUGAGAGCAAGAGCCCGGAGAUGGAUUCUGAGACACGAAUCCAGGCCCUACGGGGUGCAGCAGGCGCGAACACUUUACAAUGCGGGAAACCGCGAUAAGGGAACCCCGAGUGCCAGCAUCAAAUGUUGGCUGUCCGGAUGAUUAAAAAUCAUUUGUUAGCAAGGGCCGGGCAAGACCGGUGCCAGCCGCCGCGGUAACACCGGCGGCCCGAGUGGUAGCCGUUUUUAUUGGGUCUAAAGGGUCCGUAGCCGGCCUGAUAAGUCCUUUGGGAAAUCUGGCAGCUUAACUGUCAGGCUUCUAAGGGAUACUGUCAGGCUUGGGACCGGAAGAGGUAAGGGGUACUCCAGGGGUAGGAGUGAAAUCUUGUAAUCCCUGGGGGACCAUCUGUGGCGAAGGCGCCUUACCAGAACGGGUCCGACGGUGAGGGACGAAAGCUAGGGGAGCAAACCGGAUUAGAUACCCGGGUAGUCCUAGCUAUAAACGAUGCUCGCUAGGUGUCAAACACGGUGCGACCGUGUUUGGUGCCGCAGGGAAGCCGUUAAGCGAGCCACCUGGGAAGUACGGUCGCAAGGCUGAAACUUAAAGGAAUUGGCGGGGGAGCACUACAACGGGUGGAGCCUGCGGUUU